rnacentral:antisense_RNA from 1 species
AGAAGUCCUUCAAAUGUAAUUGCAAAGUCAGAGACCUACAGGGAAAUGGGGAUCAAAAGCUCUCAUCACUCCAGAUGCUACAAAGCCUUCCCUUCCAGAUGCUACCGAUUUUACUCCCCAGAGCACAGAAGAAAAGUUCGUCAUUGAUGACUGCUGUCAUACUGAAAUCAUGAAGCUAAAGGCUACAGAGGGCUACUAGAAGCCUGAGUUUCUGAAGACUGUGUGGAACCAUCAAAGCAGCCCUGAAUAUUUCCCUUGAGACUUUUCCAUUAUAGGAAGGGCAAAGAAAUAGAUGAUGUAUGAUG